CUUGUAGGUCCUUUCCAACCUUGUGAUUCUGUGAUUCUUGUGAAAUUUCAAUUAUCAGACAUUUAAGAGAGAAAGCAGAAGGCAGGAGGACUUCAGAUCUGUUUGGGGGCAGUUAACGCAAGGGGAGCUUUAUGAGGGAUUUCUUUCAACCCACAGAAAUACGAUACUGUAUGGGUAGGUAACUUCUGAUUCUGAGAGGUGAAAAGAACUGCGUGCCUCUGCAGUUUUCUAGGCAGCAGUUUUCUGUGUAGUUGUGAGCAAAGUAGAAACACGCUUCUUCAUGAUAACGCUGAGCAUAUUUGCUACAUCACCACUAUAGAGUUCUAUGUUACUCACAAUUUUAUCUUGCUUUGUCAAGUCUCUAAUAAGUCUUUAUGAAUCAACUGGGCAUGCAGUUACUUGCAUUGUUAGUCUGGAGUAGGAAAGUCUUGUGUGUAGAAAGAAAAACAGGUGUCCACUGUAGACUUUUGCUGUCUUAUAUUCCAUUAAUUAGACUGCACUUAGAGUAAGAGCCAUCAUAAACUGUGUUUGUGUCUGUCUACUUAAGCCAAAGUCCCACCACUCUUGAAGUUUCUGAAGGAGGAGCUAAGAAAUCUGCUUGAAAUAUAGAGAAAUGAAAUGAGCCGGGAGUGCAGAGGUUUGGAAGACAUCCCUCGUGUUCAGGAAGAGCCCGGUAAUCCAAGUGGCAAUGAAGAAGUCCUGGCAACUUUACCUUUGAAAAUUCAGGGCUCAGAUUUGUGCUUCCUGAUUUAGGAUUCCAGUAGAGGACUCAGAGUGCCUUCCAAAACACCUUUUGGGUUAAAUCUACACUACAAAUACAUAUGAAAGUUCAAUUUUAUAGAUAGUGAAGAAAAAGCUGACCCCUUCUGUAUGGUCUUUCCAGCAAAUCACAGUGAAUAAUGGAUAACGCCAUACUUUAAUUUUUUAUUUAUAGUUACUUUAAAUCUAAUUUUUAGUGAAGCCUUGUAUUUCAGUCCUCUUCCCUAAUGACUCACUGGGUGGAUACAGGGAGACCAGCCUCUGCGUAUCAUUGUCUUGCUUUUAUCUAUUUAUUUCUUUUUAAACAGACGUCGUACUGAACGUAUGGUUUGAAUUUUGGGCAGUCCUGUGUGAAGCUGGGAGUUAACCUCCGUGAUCCUCGUGGGGCUCUUCCAGCUUGAGAUGUUCUUCCUUCUAAUGUGAUGGCAGCGGGAAUCCGGAAAAAAUAAUUCCAUGAGAUGGUGUUCUGAAUGAAGGUAUGACAUUCCAGUUUCCUUCACUUGGAAUCAGACAUCCAGAGGUGAAAUGUUCUGGGAAAAUUGCCCGCCCUUCAUUUGAAAGGCUCCAUUCAGCAAACAUUCCUCCAGCUUGUUUGAUCAUGACCUUUCCUCAUUUUUGAGCACCCUUCUCUGCACAACAGCGUCUCAUGCAAAUGAGGGCAUCUCAUCAGACUCAGCCUUAGAGCAUCUGGCUUGGAUUCCUUAAUGGAAAUAAAGUAAGUGACAGAACACGGUAGGUUUUUCAUACCAGGGGUGCAUCAUGCAGAGAAGCUUCAGGAACAGAGAAAAAGAUAGAAAGUAGCAACUAAAAAUAACCCACCUUCAGCAGUAACAAUGCAGAAAAUACUUUCCAAGCUAUGUAAGUAAUAUAUCAACACUGAAGCCGAUUAAGAUUUGAUAAAGUACUAACUUCCCCAUUUUUUAAUAGGAAGGCUGGGACCCGAGAUAAAACAGUGUCAUGCUGGGGAGGACAAACACCACAGCAUCCAAUAAACUUUUUAUGCACUUAUUUUGCUAAAGACCAA